AGUAUGAGAAAACCACCAUGCUACGUAUCGAUAUGUUGAUGGCCAUCAUUUUAUUGUUUGGCUUGUCUCUCCACCUCAAUGGUGUUGCUCAGCUCUCUGCAGUUGCUCCCCCUAACUCUUGGAAAAUUUCAAAUAUGCAGCUGCAGCGCAUUAACAUGCACAACGUAUCUAGUAUCCUUCCUAUUCUUGACCAUAGAAUCAUGUCAUAUAGAACUUAUUUUGGCUUCUAUGCCAUAGAUGGUCAUUCAUUCAUUCUCUCUAUUGUGAUUUUUGGACCCCAAGCUCCAGUCAUCUGGUCUGCCAACCCUGACAAUCCUGUAAACUGCGACACCAUCUUAAAGUUCACUAGAGAAGAGGAUUUGCAGCUCCGCUGGAUGUAUACCCUUAAGUAGCCCUUCCUGCAACCAAGCACACAACAACCAGCUAAUACAAGUCAACAAUGUUUCUUACUUCAGUAACAGUGCAUUCUUGUUAUUAGCAAGUUCAACUUCUGAAAAUGUUUGCAAGCGAUCAUGCUUAACUGAUUGCGAUUGCAAAGCAGUGGUUUUUCCAAAAGAACGUUUACGGUAGUGAUGGUGGUUACUGCUUGUUGCUAUCUGACAGCAUGGCAAUUUUGUUUGCAGACAAUUCAUCAAAUCGUUUUUCAGCAUUUGUAAAGAUAGAAGGUAAUCACUCAGAAAAAAGGAGAACAAUUAUUAUUGUUGUUGGUUCAAUUGCAGGAUUUUGUCUAAUAUCUGUCUUGGUUUGCAUGGCUGUAUGGAAGAAAUACAAGAAAAACGAGGAACCACCUUUGAUGUCAUACCUGGAAUACCAAAGCGUUUCUCCUUUCAUGAGUUAGAAGUUUCUACUGGCCACUUCUGUAUAAAGCUGGGAGGUGGUGGCUUUGGGUCCGUAUUCAAAGGCAAGAUAGGCAGGCAAACUAUUGCUGUCAAACGCUUGGAGGGUCUCGAGCAAGGAAUGGAAGAGUUCUUAGCAGAGGUCAAGACAAUUGGCAGAAUUCAUCACUUUAAUCUCAUAAGGUUGGUUGCUUCUUGUCUACGAAUACUCGUCCAAUGGCUCGUUAGACAAAUGGAUCUUUCCCAAAAGUACAGUCUUCACUCUCUCUUGGAAAACUAGACGUGAUAUCAUAUUGGGCAUUGCUAGGGGUUUAUCCUACCUUCACGAAGAACGUGAGCAAAGGAUUGCUCAUUUGGAUAUCAAGCCACAGAAUAUUCUCUUGGAUGACAAAUUCAGUGCUAAGAUCUCAGAGUUUGGACUCUCAAAAAUGAUAAACAGGGAUCAAAGCAAAGUCAUGACUAGAAUGCGAGGAACACGUGGUUAUCUUGCACCUGAAUGGCUGGGUUCAAAAAUCACAGAGAAGGCUGACAUUUACAGCUUUGGGAUUGUGAUGAUCGAAAUCAUAUGUGGUCGAGAAAAUUUGGAUGAAUCACUACCCGAGGAGAACAUCCAUUUGAUAAGCCUGCUUCAAGAGAAGGCACGGUUUGGCCAGUUGUCUGAUUUGGUGGACAGUAGCAGCAAUGACAUGGGAUUGCAUAUGCAAGUGGUCGUGGAAGCGAUGAAGCUUGCUAUGUGGUGCUUGCAGGUUGAUAGCAGCAGAAGACCCUUGAUGUCAACAAUCGCCAAAGUGUUGGAAGGUGUGAUGAGCAUGGAGGAAAUACCUGACUGCACUUUGGUCCCUAGUUUUGCAUCAAACAAUACCGUGGGAGCAGGUUCUUCUUAUCUUCCUUCUGAGUCAUAUUUAUCAGGGCCUAGGUGAUACCGGUUAAAGCCUCCAACUGAGAGUAAACUUUCAAUCAGGAUAAAAGGUGUUCUUUUUUGUCUCAGUUGGAUUUUUUAAUAGUGAUAAAAACUCAUCCCCCAUUAUAUACCAAGACAGAGGCAUUUCUUCCUCCCCAGCCCGAGCCAGUCCACCACAAAGAUGGUGCCGAAGCAAGAGAGGUGCUGCCCGAAUUUUUUUCCCUCAUUUUCGUGGGAAUUUCACUCAUGCAAAGUGUUGUGAAGGUUUCCUACUUCAUCCUCGUAUUACGCUUUGAUUUAUGCUUUGGAGAUGGAUAGUUUAUUUGCUAGAAUGUGAAGUAGAAAAUGGAGAGAUAUUUUGAGCUAGAAUGUGAGGAUGAUCGAUGUGUCAUAUAUAGUAUGUAUCUUUGCUGUGGUUUAAAAAUAAUGCUACCCUUGUCUAGACGGUUUUGUUUUGUAAAAUUCAAUAUGGUUUUUCAAAUCCAUACUUGUUGAACUUGCAUACCAUGUUCAUCUCAGCGAGAAUGUUCUCCGCCGAGCAGCAACGUAUGUCAAGGAGGAGGUCCGAUUCUACGAGAAAGAGUGGAUACGGACAUCGUGGAAGACCGUGUCCCCUUUUUCAUAGAAUUGAAUCUCUUCCAUGACGAAGCGCGGUGCUGCCCAGUUGAGAACAUGCUCGCAAGAUGAUCACGGUCUUCAAGUUCAACAAGUUCUGUAGGCAUACCGUAUUCAUCUCGGUAAGCAUGUUCUCCGUGGAGCAGCAACGGACGUUAAGGAGGAGCUUUGAUUUUACAAGAAAGAGCGGCAACAACCUUUCUCGUAAAAUCGUAAAAUCGAAGCUCUUCCAUGACGAAGUACGGUACCGCCUAGUUGAGAACAUGCUUGCCGAGAUGAUCACGGUCUUCAAGUUCAACAAGUUCUGCAGUGCUAAGAUAAGAAUUUUUGUACAUAGAUGGCUUCUACUACUGGAGGAAGUGGUGAUGGUGGGGGCGAUCAUCGUUCCUCUUCCGGCAAGGGGAAAUUCAAGUUGGCUCUCAUGAUAAGCCAAUGAAAAUGAGCACGUUGGAGAAAGCAAUGCUUUGUUAUUUGCAGAAACGUCAUGAAGAACCUGUUGCGGCGGGUCAAGAACCUCCUUUUGGUAGUCGUUAUGCUCCAUCGUUAGUCCCGUGUGUUUCACGUCCACUUAGUACUACCGUUUUAGGCGGCACAAAUAAACCACAGGAUAAGGCUGGGUCAGCGGAACCUUCGUCUUCAUCGCCCAAGGAUGCUUAAAGUCUUUCUAGAUAAUAACCAUUGGAUGGCUUAACGUAGUGUAUCAUGUUGUUUGGAUAUAUAAUUUAAAUAUGUGUAUUUGUAUCUAUAUCUAAACUUUCAGCAUUAUUUGCACUACAACGUUUGACAUGCUUUCAAUCGUGAAUCCAUUUUCAAGUGUAAUCAAUUUUCAUGCGUAAUCAAUUUUCAGUGUAAUCCAUUUUCACGCGUAAUCCAUUUUCAAGUGUAAUCCAUUUUCAUGCGUAAUACGAUGCAGAUGGACCGGCAAUGAAUGUAUAAUGCAGACAGAUGGAGCGAGGUGUUUAUUGAUGGCUUGCAUUAUUUUCUCGAAGUGGCUAAAGCGAACAAGUCAGAGAAUGGGUUCGUAUGUUGUCCAUGUUUCCGAUGCAAUAACAAGGACUACGCAAAGGAUUCCUGGGAGACUAUUCACAGCCACUUGUUUAGAUACGGUUUCAUGCCUAACUAUUUGGUUUGGACCAAGCACGGUGAAAGAGGGGUUGUAAUGGAAGACGGCGAAGAGGAGGGGGAUGAUGACAACAUUCCGGACUAGGUUGCAGGCUAAGCUUUUGCAGAUACUACAAUGGACAAGGCUGAUGAAGAUGAGUUUGCAGAAAAUGGCCCUACUGAUGACCUUGGUCAGGUGCUACGAGAUGCACACAGAGAUUGCGAAACUGAGAAGGAAGCAGUAAAGUUGCAGCGCAUGAUAGAUGAUCACCAAAAAAUGUUAUACCCUGAUUGCUAGCAAGGCCAUAAAAAACUAGGUACGACACUAGAAUUUGUGCAAUGAAAGGCAAAAAAUGGUGUGUCCGAUAAGUCAUUUCAGGGGAUAUUGAACAUUGUUAAGAAGAUUCUUUCCGAGAAUAAUGAAUUAUCAUUCACAACAUAUGAAGCUAAACAGAUUAUUUGCCCUCUCAGAUUGCAGGUUCAGAAGAUACACGCAUGCCCUAAUGACUGUAUCCUCUAUCGUGGUGAUGAAUACGAGAAAAUGGAUGCUUGUCCCAUCUGCGAAGCGAUGCGGUAUAAGAUUAGGCGAGAUGAUCCUGAUGAUGUCGAGGGGUAGUCUCCCAAGAAGAGAGUUCCCGCGAAGGUGAUGUGGUAUUUCCCUAUAAUACCAUGCUUGAAGCGCUUGUUUUCAGAAACAAGGCGAAUGCUAAGUUGAUGCGAUGGAACAAAGAAAAACAUAUGGAAUAUGAGAUGCUGAGACACCCCGCAGAUGGGGCCCAGUGGAGAUCAAUUGAUAGAGCAUUCCCGAACUUUGAAAAUGAAGCAAGGAACAUAAGGUUUGGUUUAAGUACUGAUCGAUUCAAUCCAUUCGGUGAGUUGAGUAGUGACCAUAGUACUUGGCCUGUGACUCUAUGUACGUUCAACCUUCCUCCUUGGUUGUGCAUGAAGCGGAAGUUCAUUAUGAUGUCGGCGCUUAUCCAAGGCCUAAAACAACGACAUUGAUGAACUUUUACAGCUCUGGAAGGAAGAAGGUGUACGUGUGUGGGAUAAGGAUAAACAAGAGAUCUUUAAUCUACGAGCAUUGUUGUUCAUAACCAACAAUGAUUGACCUGCACUGAGUAACCUUUCGGGACAGACAAACAAGGGAUAUCGGGCCUACACCCACUGUUUAGAUGACAAAGACAUAAUAUAUUUGAAGUACUAUAAGAAGGUUAUCUAUAUGGGUGAUCGUAUCUGCUCACCACCAACUGAGAAAGAGUGGGAUGCAUUUUAAAGGGCCGACAGACCAUCGUAAAAAAUCUGCACACCGUAAUGGAAAGCGUGUCUUCAAGAUGAUAAAAGAUGUAAAUGUAGUCUUUGGAAAGGGUCAUGGUAGACAACAUGUUCCGAACAACGAUAACGGACGUGCACCCAUGUGGAAGAAAAAGUCCAUAUUUUGGGAGCUACCUUAUUGGAAAAUCUUAAAGGUUCGCAACGCAAUAGACGUGAUGCACCUGACGGAUAAUCUUUGCGUGAACAUGCUAGGCUUUAUGGGUGUUUAUGGGACCUCGAAAGAUACAAUGGAAACAUCCGAAAAAGAGAGAUAACGGACAGCACUACUUACGUCCUGCCAAUUACAAUCUCAGCAAGAAAGAGAAGGAUAGGAUGUUUGAAUGUUUGAAUAAUAUGAAGGUCCUGUCUAGGUACUCCUCGAAUAUAAAGAGAAUAAUCAAUAUGAAACAAAAGAAGUUUACAAAUCUCAAGGCUCAUGACUGCCACAUGUUGAUGACCUAGUUGCUUCCGGUUGCACUGAUUAUUGCUGGUGAUGGUAGUGGCUCCAACCUUGCCAUAUCAUACACCGAUGAAGAGGGCACCCAGGCAGACAUGUUCCUCAACAUGUCCAAUGAUGGGAAUGAAGAGCCCGAGCCCAAGCAAAACCUUGCCGUGGCGGAAGGUUUCGGCGAGGUAUAUAUAAUUUAUAUUAUUUUACGCUACCGUUAAUGCUAUGUACUAAUUAACGAAUCUUGAACUGUUAGCCCUCUGGAUCAACAAAAGGGUAGAAGACCCGAGGUCGUACAAGGGUGAUGGAAGGGAGGCUUGUCAUCACGGAAGUCACGGAAGAGGGCAUGCCGGUUGCUCCUGAAAAAGUAGCAAAGAAGUACAUAAGUCAGAUCGGGGCAAUCGUAAGGGACAACAUGCCUAUCAGCAUCAGGGAAUAGAAGGGCAAAAGCACUAAUCCAUACGCGCUCCCGGAGACACAAAAGAAUAUGCUGUGGGAAGAUGUCAAGAGACAUUUCACAUUUCCUGAAGGAUAUAUUGAAAAGGAUGUGAAAGCAUUGACGCUGAAGAAGAUGGCUAAACAAUUCUAGACAUUAAGAAGAUGCUGGAUGCCAACUACCUUAAGAAGGGUCGAACUCCAGAUUUCAAUGUGCGGCCAAAGUUGAGGGACCACUGGGAGGCAUUUGUUGAAUAUAAGAGGAGUGAAGACGGUGUGAAAAAGAUCCAGACCAACACUACAAAUUAUGGUCAGAAGGAGUACCAUCAUCAUCUAGGGCGAGGUGGUUAUGGCACAGCAAUUCCCAAAUGGAAGAAGAUGGAACAAGACCUGAUCGAACAGGGUAUGGUACUUGCAACUAUUGAUUGGCCCGAAUGAUCAAAAAAUUGGUAUUACGCUCAUGGAGGCUCCUUGAGCCAAGAGGAUGGGACAUUGAUUUCAAUGAGACAAUAUGUCAGAAGGCCGAAAGGCUUAUAAAGAACAUUGAACAUUCUAAGGCUACGAGGUUGAAGGUGGACUGAGAGAAUGAUGAGCUCACAUUGGCCCUCGGUAAUCCCGAGCACCCAGGACAUUUCCGAGGGUUCGGGGUCAUUCCGUGGAAGUUUGCAUUCCGAAGUGAUAGCGUAUCGUACAGAAGCCGCAAGUGAAGAAAAGAAUAUAUCGAGGAGAGCUAGCGGCAGAUGCUAGAAUCCAAAGUGUAGUCACAAGAAAAAAGAAUGUUGGAGGAAAGCAAUUGUCAAGUGGCCCACGCAGUUGCGGAGUUGGCCCAAUCUGGAGCAUUGUCGAAUCCAAACUACGCCAGCCCUUCUCAAUGCCUCUUGAGCAGUUGUGCUUCUACAGGGCUCCCCGAUGCGCAGACGCCCAGGUUACCCGUGGAGGAGCAACAGUUCACUAUGGAUGCCAUCACGCAAUGCACCUCAUGUGAGCUGCAUGCACCGGUCGGCAACCUCACUAUUAAGGUAUACUUAUACAUAAUAUUUAUGCAAUCUUCUCAAAUGAUCCACGCCUCGGGAUCGGAGUUUAAUAACUUGUUUACUUCGGCUAUAUGUACAGGUGGCGUACGGGAGUGCGUUACCAAUCCUAGCAGGGUAGACAAGCCAUGGAAUGGAGAUUCCACCUGGCUACGCCAGCGUCAGCGUAGAGCAGCUUGUUGAUAGCCAAUAUGAAGGCCUAGAGCUUGACCUUCCAGGAGGCGACGGGGAAAGGACACUGGCAGAUGCGUUUCAUGGGAUCAUUCUAUGGUGCAAACGCUACAUCAUUAUUCCCGACACGGAGCCAUCUCCUCAAAGCUCAAGACCGCUCCCCAUAAAUCCCCAACAACGACCUUCUCGUCAUAGCUCGAGACCAUCAUCUCCUGCACAACCUGCUCCAGGACUGUCGUUUCCUGCUCGAUUAAGGUCUCCAUCUCCACCACAUCCUGGUGGUGGGAGCGACAACAAAAAUAACAACACCCCUCCCCGAUCACCGUCGUCGGGACUAAGAGCAGCCCCGAUGAAGGAACUUGCAGCACCACUAAAGAAGUCACGAGCAUCGCCUCCCAAGCAAAGACAAAGAAAGAAAAAAAACAAAGGAGCCUGAAGUGACGCGUAAGGAACGCUGGGAGGCAAUGAGUCAUGCAAAACAAUGGGCAGAAAAAUCCAAGCAGAGGCUAAUGCGUGGUUCAAGAAACAAGCCGAAGAAAAAAAGCAAGGGAGAUGGAGCCACCGCCAGUAAAUCGAAGAGAUUUUAAUUUUUUUAUCAGAAUGGAAGAAGGAGCCAAGAAAAGGAUACCACUACUAUCAAACUACGAAUGGGCUUUAGUAAAGGCUGAUGAGAGGGACAAAAGGAAAGGAAAGUCAUCUUCCAGUGGUAUUGUUCCCGUCCUCGGGCAUCUAUCAAAAAAAGAUGCUCAAAAGAUAGCACCAAUGCCCUUGGAUCAACAAGCACAACUAUUGAAAUUCAUGGAAGAAACAGGUAUUGGACUUAAUGAAUGUUUAGGGCAAGUUGAGCCACCAACUGCACCGCCAGUUCAAUCGAGAUGGACUUUUGAGCAAGGAAAAUCUGAACGAAUUCCAUCAAUGGUACAUGAAGGUGUCCACCAACUCGAGGGAGAUGUUUGGCCGUAAGGUAAAACCAAUAGAUUUUUACGGCGAAGACGAGAAAGUUCUGUAGCUAGAUUUGAAGGAUAUAUACGAAGUGUACCAUCAUGAUGCCCUGGACGUCUCUCUGAUCAGUGCCUGGGUUCUGUAAGUGUCCGUUUAUCUACAUGUAAAUUUUGGCUCAUAUCAUUAUUUUUUUUGCAUGAGUCACCGUACUAACUUUGUCUUCCAUUUUAUCUAGGAUGCUAAUUCAGACGUGCUGACGAGAGGCGUACCUACAUAUUGGCUUCAUGGAUCCAUCCGUAGUUAUCCAAAAACAGAUACAAUUAUCACCGAAAAAAACCUCGGUGGAAGUAUAUAAUUUUCUAGACAAACAAAAAUUCAAGGAUUUUAUACUACUUCCAUACAACUUCAAGUAAGUGUGUGUAUACCUUCUACUUUCAUUUUCUUUUUCCUUACCUGAUUAAAGUUAGUUAGCUCUAAUAUGCAUGAACAUUUUACGUACGCAGCUUCCACUGGAUCCUCAUUAUAAUUGAGCCUGAAAGAAACCAUGUCACUGUCUUCGAUUCAUUGAGGAAAGAUCCGGUGGAGUACCAAGACAUGCAAGACAUGCUAGGCGUGUAAUAAUUUUGGACCUUUAUCUCUAUGCAAAAGUUUAUUUCCUAAAUUUUAUCCCUGUUACACUAUAUCAUUCAUUAUUCUAAUCCGCAGCGCAUGGAAACAAUUCAUAAGGACACACAAAGGUCCAUUCAAAGAAAAACUUACAUGGAACACAGACUUCUUAGUACGUAUGAAGUCUGCACAUUUAGUAUAUUGUAUAACACGAAUAUUUCAUAUCAUAUUUUUUUCCGCACUGAAGUGCUGAAGAUAGGAACCCGGGAAUAAUCUAUGUGGCUACUACAUCUGUGAGCACAUGCGCAGUUUUAUAGGACCCAAGGGACUAAAGAUGACGCCACACAACUUUAAAGUACGUAAAAUAAAACUAUUACUAGUUAAUUAUUUUCUAGCUCCUUAUAUUUAAUUGUUCGUGUAACAUUCACAUAUUUCCAAAUUAUAGAUGCUAAAUAUUCAACAAGGACUCUUGAAGAAAGAAGUAGCGGCAAUAUGUGAAGGUCUCAUUGGAUUCCUAAUGGACGAGGUGGUAAAUCCACAAGGAGAAUUUUAUUACAAUGGAAGACAUUUAGACACUUCGAGCAACACCUCGACGGGAAGAUUGUAGAUAUAUAGUUUGAUUUGUAUAUAUAAUACGCACUAAGAUCGAUUUGUAUAUAUAGUUGAUUUCAUUAUACUAGUUGACUUGUGUAUAUAUAUAGUAAUUGUAUAAUUACUAAUUUCAUUUGUUUAAAUACUAGUUGAUUUCAUUAAAAAAAGUCUCAACUACUAAAGGUUAACAAAAGGGCUGCGGUACGUACGUGAUGCAUGAAAAUUUCAGGCGCCAUGCAGGAAAAUUUAAGUAGGACUUUAGUCCCGGUUGGGAAACCCAACCGGGACUAAAACCAACUGGGAUUAAAGGGUGACUUUACUCCCGGUUGAAGGUUCCGGGACUAAAGACCCCCCUUUUGUCUCGAUUGGUUUAUCUGGGAUGGAUUUUCGGGAGAUAUGCACGCUAUCAACCGGAACUAAAAGCGAGUUCUCUAUUAAUGUUAGUACUCUCUGCAGGGUCAGGUACAGUACAGUGGGCCUAUAUAUAUAACCUAUCAGCCCAAAAAUACACAACAAUGGCCACAGCAAGCUACCCGGUCCCCUAUAGUGUUUUUUUAGCAUAUUUAGACCUCUCCUUCAACAAUCUCUGUGAUUAAUUGUUCAUAUACCAUUCACAUAUUUCCAAAUUAUAGAUGUUAAAUAUUCAACAAGGCCUCUUGAAGAAAGAAAGAGUAGCGGCAAUAUAUGAAGGUCUCAUUGGAUUCCUAAUGGACGAGGUGGUAGAUCCACAAGGAGAAUUUUAUUACAAUGGACGACAUUUAGACGCUCCGAGCAACACCUCGACGGGAAGAUUGUAGAUAUAUAGUUUGAUUUGUAUAUAUAAUACGCGCUAAGAUCGAUUUGUAUAUAUAGUUGAUUUCAUUAUACUAGUUGAAUUGUGUAUAUGAAUUGUGUAUAUAUAUAGUAAUUGUAUAAUUACUAAUUUCAUUUGUUUAAAUACUACUUGAUUUCAUUAUAAAAAAAGUCUCAACUACUGAAGGUUAACAAAAGGGCCGCGGUGCGUACAUGAUGCAGGAAAAUUUCAGGCGCCAUGCAGGAAAAUUUAAGUAGGACUUUAGUCCCGACUGGGGAACCCUUUAGUCCCGGUUGGGUUUCCCAAUCAGGAGUAAAGGGGCACCCUUUACACCCGGUUGCUUUUACUAACCGGGAGUAAAGGGCCUAUCCCGCGCCUAGCGUGGCAGGCCCUUUAGUCCCGGUUGUUUCACCAACCAGGACUAAAGGGUGACUUUACUCCCGGUUGAAGGACCCGGGACUAAAGAUCCCCCUUUUGUCUCGAUUGGUUUAUCCCGGAUGGAUUUUCGGUAGAUAUGCACCCUACCAACCGGGACUAAAGGCGAGUUAUGUACUAGUGUUAGUACUCUCUCCAGGGUCACGUACAGUACAGUGGGCCUAUAUAAAUAACCUAUCAGCCCAAAAAUACACAACAAUGGUCACUGCAAGCUACCCGGUCCCCUAUAGUGUUUUUUUAGCAUAUUUAGACCUCUCCUUCAACAAUCUCUGUGGUACUAUUCCUAACUUCCUGGCAAAUUUCACCGACUUGACGAACUUAAAUGUUUGCUUCAAACUUAUUGAAGGAAAGUGAAGGACCGGACAGGUGACCAGAGAUGGUGAAUGGGAACCUUUAAAAAUUCUCUCUCUCCAAGAACAAAGCCUAUAUCCCGAUUGCCACCCCAAACACACCUCGCUCCUAAUCGCUAAGAUGACACAAGUCAACUUGAGACAAGUUCACCAAGAAACGAUUAGAAAAGCUAAAAGCGUAGCAGAAGCAAAGACGAUUAAGCUUGGAAGAAACUACACUUAAAAAGCUUGCUUGCCAAAUCACUAAUCAACCAGGCAAGAAAUUAAAAAGCUAGGCUUACUAGUGAUAGCAGCGAAGAGCUAUAUGUCGGCACAAGCAUAUAUGUGCCCAUGCUAGUAAACUAGGCUUACUAGGCUUACUAGUGAUAGCAGCCAAAAGCUAUAUGUCAUGAAGAAUUGCUGUUCCAAGGGGACGCUCCACCCUUCUGCAUGCAUGCCGUGCCCAUGCCGCCAGCUGCUCGCGCUCCUCCUCGCAGCGAUUUGAGCCUAGCUCAGCUGGAAAGAUUGUUUGUGGUGGGACUAAAUUAUUGCAAUAUUUAAUCAAUACUAUCUUUUCAGCAAUAGAUGAUGUGCCCGUCGACAGUUUCGUAAAAAGAAAAUAUGUGAGUGCCUUGGUGUGAAGCGAAAACAUAUCAAAAACAUACCUUGAGAAGAGUAGGGUGAAACGAUGCAACAGCGGAGGUGUAAAUGGAAACUUUGUUCUACCUGUCUCACGUAAUUAGAAUAGUCGAAUGUUAAUGAAAUUGAUUACUGUCUCUAGUUUUGGAGAUGUCAUCUCCUCCUUUCUCCCUCCUCCUGCCCGCCCAUGCCGCCGGAUGCUCGCUCGUCCUCGCGCCACUGCUCGAUCAUCUUUGCAUCGUCCUUGUCCACUGCUCUUAGUCCACGACGACUUCCACGUCCUCGUCCGUCCCCAAGCUUAUAAAUUGAUUGUCCACCGGGCUACUUCAAUAAUUAAUAUUCCGAUGCAUGUUAGGUCUAUUAGUCUAUGUCCACGUCAGUCAUCACUCAUCACCACCCGUUUGAAUGUGGAUAAGGCACCAACUAA
rnacentral:lncRNA from 1 species